rfam:Felis catus isolate Cinnamon breed Abyssinian chromosome D4, whole genome shotgun sequence.
GCCUCGGUGGCUCAGUCGGUUAAGCGUCCGACUUUGGCUCGGGUCAUGACCUCACGGUCCGUGGGUUCGAGCCCCGCGUCGGGCU